rnacentral:rRNA from 1 species
CGUUGUAAACUUUUUUUAUCUGGGAAGAAACCUACNAUUUCUAUUGUNGUUGACGGUACCCGUAGGNAAUAAGCACCGGCUAACUCCGUGCCAGCANCCGCGGUAAUACGGNGGGUGCAAGCGUUAUCCGGAUUUACUGGGUUUAAAGGGUGUGUAGGCGGACUUUUAAGUCUGGGGUGAAAUCUCCGANCUCAACUCGGAAACUGCCUUGGAUACUAUUAGUCUUGAAUUAUGUUGAGGUUGNCNGAAUAUAACAUGUNNCGGNGAAAUGCAUAGAUAUGUUNUAGANCACCGAUUGCGANCGCAGCUAACUAAGCAUAUAUUGACGCUGACGCACGAAAGCGUGGGGAUCAAACAGGAUUAGAUACCCUGGUAGUCCAAG